CCUACGGGAGGCAGCAGUGAGGAAUAUUGGUCAAUGGGCGCGAGCCUGAACCAGCCAAGUAGCGUGAAGGAUGACUGCCCUACGGGUUGUAAACUUCUUUUAUAAGGGGAUAAAGUGAGGCAAGUGUGCCUUUUUGUAUGUACUUUAUGAAUAAGGAUCGGCUAACUCCGUGCCAGCAGCCGCGGUAAUACGGAGGAGCCGAGCGUUAUCCGGAUUGAUUGGGUUUAAAGGGAGCGUAGAUGGGUUUGUAAGUCAGUUGUGAAAGUUUGCGGCUCAACCGCAAAAUUGCAAUUGAUACUGGCAGGCUGGAGUACAGUAGAGGUAGGCGGAAUUCGUGGUGUAGCGGUGAAAUGCUUAGAUAUCACGAAGAACUCCGAUUGCGAAGGCAGCUUACUAAACUGCCACUGACAUUGAUGCUCGAAAGUGUGGGGAUCAAACAGGAUUAGAUACCCCAGUAGUC
rnacentral:rRNA from 1 species